GUUUUAAUAGUUUAAAAUAAAACUUUGGUUUUGUAAACCAAGAAUAAAAAUUAAUUUUUAAAACU
rnacentral:tRNA from 1 species